AAAUGGCAGUGCACUUUAGUGAAGAUUAAAAAAUGCUAAUAUAUUGGGACAAAGAGAGGGUUACAAAUCACAUUAUGCUGUUUACGGCCAUUGACUCAUAUAUCCAGUUGCUAAUUGUUAUUCAUUACACUUAUAUCUACAGCACGGGCACAUUUUCGAUGUAUUGCUAGCAAAAUAAAAACGUUAAAUUGUCUAUGAAGCCCUCAUUGCAUUGUUUCAUGCGGUUGGACCAAAUAAAAUUCAGCAGUGAAAGGGUUAAAGUGCAGGGUUUCCGCAGGCUGCGGCGCUCGGCCUAUUGCAGACGGGCACGACUGUCUUUCCUUAUAAGGCAAUGAGUGCAAAUCGGCGGUGAAAUAUCACACGAAAUGAACGACCAUUGCACAUUCACACUUCUAUUUGCUCCAAGUCCUCACUUUCAGAAGCACGCGGACUGUCAACGCAUCCAUUAUUCUUCCUCACUGGCUCGCUCUCUGGGGCUCGCGCGCAGAAGCAGCCCCCCUGCGCAGCGCCAUGCGUAGGGUCUGCUAAUUCAGCUGCGUCAUUCCUAAAUUAACGACGAGCAAAAGAAACACGGUGCUCAAUUAGAAGCUAAGGGCUUGGUGGAAGAUAUAACUCUCAAGAAAAACUAGCCGGGAAGCUUUCAUCAGGCGGCCGUAAUGUCACCUGUCUGCUGCUCACCCCACCGCACAACAUGAUGCUUUCACACACUGUUCAGAUAUGUUGUUUAGGGUGAUCAGAUAUUACAUCUAAGCGGUGGGACAAUGGCUUACGGUGCCAAAAGUUGACAUACAGAGCGCGCACGCGACAGUUUUGUCUAAAUGUUAAGAGCUUUGGAACAUGGCACGUGCUCCCGGGGAGGAUGGAAUGUGAUGUAGCACGUGCGUGUGUUAGUAAUGGCACCGUGCUCACAGAAACUUCACCUGAGCAGCACGCACAACCCCGCUCACAGUCCGCAGGGCAUUAGGCACGACACUUUUAAGAACGGGAUAAACGAAAAAUCAGCUCAAACAGAGAUGUUCAGCUCCAAAGCAGCCGGUGUUUGGGCAGCUGUUCAAAGCACGAUUCACUUCAUGAUAUGUCGAUGUAAAAUGAAGCACCGUGUACAGGGAAAUUAUUUAAACCAAAACGUGACGCACAGAAGCGAACAAACAGGUCUGGUGUAUUUUGAUUACACUACUAAAAAAUUCUGAGCGCAUUCGUCUUUAUCUACACCUGAUCUCCUCCUCAGCGACAUUGUGAAGGGAGGAAAGAAGAUAAGGAUGACAUUACUGUAAGGAGGAGUGAAACACAAAGAUAAAAGAAAUUGAUUUUCUCUCUCUCUCUCUGUCAGAGGAGGGUUUGAGACAGCUGCGUUAAACGCAUCACAUACUGACACAGAGCAUCGUUUACACUACAUGUGUUGUGCUGGAAAGAAACACAAAAGCACGUUGUUUCAGCCAAGACACAAAGAGGAACUGAAGAGCGUUAGCGUUAGUGAAGGGCUGUUAAAUGGGCUUUUUGCUGCACAUACAGGGAGGAGCAGCAGCUGGUGAACACGAGAGCUGAUGUUUAUGGACAAAAAUACUUGGAUCCAUGGAUCCGAUGACGCCACUGCUCUCCCUGUAAGUGAGGACAUCUGAUUAAGAUGACAUUUCCACGUAGGAAAUAAUGACGCUCUGUCUGCGUCACAGCGCCGGAGUGCAGAUCGAAUGACAGCAGAGGAAAAACAGGAGGACGGAGGGGAGACAAGGUGUCACGAAACAAUGUCCAGUGGAAAGGAUGUGAUUAAUAACAGUACAUAUUUCCUCAUAAGGAAAGCAGAAAUAUAGACAUGUAGUUCCAAAUCAGCAAGAAUGUUUAACCUCAGAAGAAAGAACUGGAGAGGAGACUCACUUUGUCUGAAGCAUGAAGCUUCUUAGAGUCUUCUGACUGUUGUGAUUCAUUAAGAACGGAAUUUACUGAGGUGGCAUUUAAUAAUUCUAAAUGAAAAGAUUUUCUGUUAUCAAACAUCUGUUAUAGUCCCCUACACGACAGUUUUUACUGCAAACAAGUGGGUUCAAAGCACUGCCAACUAAGUGUUGGUAAAGGAAACUCUUUCUUGGUACUAAAGGCUUUCAUAUAAUUGAAUCAACUGAAAGGUUUCUGGCAGGAAAGCAGCUGACCACAGACAUCCUGACGGAGUACCUGCUGUAAAUGAAAGGAUAAUGGAGUCUGUUAUGUAAACCAAAUCAUUCCAGCCUUUUCAAAAUUUCCAAAUGUUCAUAUUUUGACAUCAGCUGAAAGACUGCAUAUUCCUCUGUGGCUUUGGAAAAUCUGACUUGCCAUGUUUCUUUUAAUGAAACCUUUUCAAAACCUGUUCGAUAAACUCUCACCUGGGAGCGAGAGUGUUUCUCGAGCAGCUCCUGAACAUUUGGCAGUUUAAGAUGAUAAUACACCGAGUGGAGUGGCCUUAAUGUUAAAGCAUUAGAACGGUGCAGAGGUUCCAGUUGUGGUUCGUCAUGGUCACACCUGAGCAGCCCAAACUGUCAUCACCCCAUCUCACUGUAAAGUUUAUUUUCAGCGGGGACUCACAACCACUGCUUCAGCUUUUUUUUACAAAGAUCAAACAAGUGAGUCACCGCUGCUCUGCCGGCAGGUCUUAAUGCACCUUUAACUACAGCUCAUUUUAUUGGUUUUGGUAACAGUAAAGAGAGAGAAACGGAGAACUGGAUUAAUAAUGUUGUAAAACAAAGAGAUACUUGAAAUUGUAAAGAAAAGGCACACCAAGUCUCUUAAUCUUUCUAACACAGCACGUGUCGUAGAUUUCCUCAUUAAAGAUACUUUCACCGUU